rnacentral:sRNA from 1 species
UUGUUAGAAGAUAGAAAGACUAAGACUCAUACGGACUUCGGCUACUGAUAAUAGGUUUUUAAGAUCAAUUAAUCCUAAAGCACUAUCAUGUCGUUGUAGUACUGAAGGUUGUCAAUCCAAAUGGGUGUGAUGCUAACUAUCAAGAUGUGAUCAGAAGUCACUAAGUCAAGCCAAGCAAUAACAGGUUGUGGUGUGUUCUAGCAGUCCUAAGUAAACAUGUGGAAAACAGAAAACAGCUCUUUGAAGAGC